rnacentral:rRNA from 1 species
UACGGGGGGAGCAAGCGUUGUUCGGAUUUACUGGGCGUAAAGGGCGCGUAGGCGGUCGUGACAAGUCACUUGUGAAAUCUCCGGGCUUAACUCGGAAAGGUCAACUGAUACUGUGCGGCUAGAGUGCAGAAGGGGCAACUGGAAUUCUUGGUGUAGCGGUGAAAUGCGUAGAUAUCAAGAGGAACACCUGCGGCGAAGGCGGGUCUCUGGGCCGAUAUCGACGCUGAGGAGCGAAAGCGUGGGGAGCGAACAGG